rnacentral:pre_miRNA from 1 species
UAGACACACACAAAUAACUUAUUCUGUAGCCACUUUGAGUUACGAUAAUUACAAUAUUAAUUUAUAAGAUUACAGUAACUCCAUACUAACUACUUUACUAUGACGUUAUGUUAAAUUCUUCAUGUGUUAUAGUAACCCAGCUAUCAUAAAUAUGUAUAGAUAUUAUCGUAAAUUAAUAUAUAAAAUUAUUGUAAAUGGAGGUGGCUAUAAAAUAACUUUUUUGUAGCUA